CCCCCGAUAGCUCAGCUGGAAGAGCGCGAGACUGUAAUGGAUAUCAAUCAAGUUCAUCUUGAGGUCGCUGGUUCGAUCCCGGCUCGGGGGA
rnacentral:tRNA from 3 species